rnacentral:tRNA from 1 species
GGGAAUGUGGCUCAGUGGUAGAGUGCUUGCCUCACAUGUAUGAAGCCCUGGGUUCGAUUCCUCAGCAUCA